rnacentral:rRNA from 1 species
GAUGAACGCUGGCGGCGUGCCUAAUACAUGCAAGUCGAGCGAACAGACGAGGAGCUUGCUCCUCUGGCGUUAGCGGCGGACGGGUGAGUAACACGUGGAUAACCUACCUAUAAGACUGGGAUAACUUCGGGAAACCGGAGCUAAUACCGGAUAAUAUAUUGAACCGCAUGGUUCAAUAGUGAAAGACGGUUUUGCUGUCACUUAUAGAUGGAUCCGCGCCGCAUUAGCUAGUUGGUAAGGUAACGGCUUACCAAGGCAACGAUGCGUAGCCGACCUGAGAGGGUGAUCGGCCACACUGGAACUGAGACACGGUACAGACACCUACGGGAGGCAGCAGUAGGGAAUCUUCCGCAAUGGGCGAAAGCCUGACGGAGCAACGCCGCGUGAGUGAUGAAGGGCUUCGGAUCGUAAAACUCUGUUAUUAGGGAAGAACAAAUGUGUAAGUAACUAUGCACGUCUUGACGGUACCUAAUCAGAAAGCCACGGCUAACUACGUG